rnacentral:rRNA from 1 species
CGUAGGGUGCAAGCGUUAAUCGGAAUUACUGGGCGUAAAGCGUGCGCAGGCGGUUAUGUAAGACAGAGGUGAAAUCCCCGGGCUCAACCUGGGAACUGCCUUUGUGACUGCAUAGCUAGAGUACGGCAGAGGGGGAUGGAAUUCCGCGUGUGGCAGUGAAAUGCGUAGAUAUGCGGAGGAACACCGAUGGCGAAGGCAAUCCCCUGGGCCUGUACUGACGCUCAUGCACGAAAGCGUGGGGAGCAAACAGGAUUAGAUACCCUGGUAGUCCACGCCCUAAACGAUGUCAACUGGUUGUUGGGUCUUCACUGACUCAGUAACGAAGCUAACGCGUGAAGUUGACCGCCUGGGGAGUACGGCCGCAAGGUUG